CUCUAUAUAAUAGACUCUGGUCGCCAGAAUAACGCUCGCAUAACAUUUAAGAAAAAGAAAAACGCUCACAUAAACGUCAAAAACAAAAAAAAAAGUUUGUUAAUUUUUGUUGGAUACCGGAAAGUUAAUAAUUUUAAUCUGUACCAAAAUAAUUUUGCUUAGCAGCAGCAGUAUUGAACGUACAGGUACCGAUGAUGGGAAAAGUUUCGCGAAUCCAGGAGAAGCCGAUGGCAGGAACACAAGCAUCCGGGAUCUCAACAGUAGCAGCUAACUUGAUCGACCUCCUCGUCAUGAUGACAACGAGAUGGUCAUGGGACAAGGUGCUAUGCUGUGUAAACAACGAGAUCGCUACGCUGGACGAUACUAUUUUUGCAAGAUUUUCGCGAUACCAACACCAACAGAAAACUUAAAACUUUUUUUGGUGAAACAACCUGAAAAGCUAUCAGGUGGGCGGCGACUGCUGUUAAUUAUAAGUGAAUGCAUGGUGUUCUAUUAGAAUUGAUCUAAUUCACGCAUGUGAGUACAUUACCUGUUUAUUGUUACUAUGUUGCUAUUUGUGCAUGUCAUAUAUGUUUUCCAGUAUCUUAUUGUACCUAUGUGUUUUCUUGAUAAUUUCAAAUCAAUGGACUUUCGUUUAAAUAGGUGAAGAUCGGAAAUCAAAAGGAAAAUAUUAAAUAAUCGGUGUUGAAGAUGUAGUAUACGAUUCGUAAAUGUUUUUUUUUUUUUUCAAAUUUUGCUUCUAAGAAACUAAAAAAUAUAGGAAUAAAGUGACUGAGAUUGUUAUAAAAUAAAAAGAAUGCAUUGGAAUAAACACGUGACAUGCAUAAA